rnacentral:lncRNA from 1 species
CAAGCUGUCUCUUGAUUGACCUAUCUAUAAAAUGUCAUUGAUCAGUUGUGUUAAGAGGGCAGGUGGGUUAGCUGCAUCAUUUUCUUCUCUUAGGUUAGCCACACACAGGUAGCUUUAAUUCCCCAAGUCCGCAGGAUCUGGGAAGAGGAAUGAACUUUAAGAUUCCACAGCAUGAAAAAUUCAAGAAUGGCUUCUACAAAGCAGUCAUAUUCCAGAGAUACACUUUUGAAAGGAAUGUGAACACUAUAAAUUACUCCAGAACCUGCAUUCCUGUCUGAGUGUAACAAUAUGAUGAAAUAGGAGGAAACACUUUCUAUGGUGAAGUGACUGAUGAAAAAAAAAAAAAGUGAGAAUUAUGGUUUGUACCUAUUUGGUGGCAGCUUCGAGGUGCUUCUGAGCUUGUUUUGUGUUAUACUUCUUGGCUUCCUGGAGUCUACUUCUGAAGAAAUAUCUCACAAGGAACAAGCGUGACAAGAAUGUACAGAAUGGAAGGAAGAUGAAGCUCUUAUUUGUGAUUAUGCACAUUGAACUUUCCUUUUCUAGUGUAAGAGUCCACUGGAAAUAGCUGAGAAAGGAAUAUUAUACAGCCAAACAUCACAAAGCCUGUCUGAUCAAAUGAAUUUACUCAUUG